rnacentral:tRNA from 1 species
GCCUUCUGGUGUAGUGGUUAGCACGCUGAGUUCGUAUUCCAGAUGUAUGUGGUUCGAGUCCCGCUGAAGGCA